CUCCCACGAGUCAUAAAACCGAAAUCGCUAGAAGCAAAUUCCCCACAGCUUUCCUCCUCCCACCAGACGCCGCAGCCAUGGCUUCUGCCGAAACCCUAGCCCGCUCCCCAUCUCGCGAGCCCUCGUCCGACCCGCCCCGCGAUGCCUCGCGCGACGCCUCCUCCGAGCCCCACCACAACGGCUCAGCCAACGCCGCUGGCGACGGCGACUCGUCCUCCCGCCGCCGCCGCCGCAGCCGAUGGGAGCAGUCCAACGACGAAUCCGGUGCCAAUUCAGGCGGCGAGGGCGGCGCGGGAGGACGGAAGCGGAAGUCGCGCUGGGCCGAGGAGGAGCCCCGCCCGACCAUCGCACUUCCGGAUUUCAUGAAGGACUUCGCCGCCGAGAUGGAUCCCGAGGUGCACAACCUCAACUCGCGCCUCCUAGAGAUUUCGCGCCUGCUGCAGUCGGGGCUCCCCCUCGACGACCGUCCUGAGGGCGCGCGCUCGCCGUCCCCUGAGCCAAUAUACGAUAACCUGGGCAUCCGCAUCAACACCCGCGAAUACCGGGCGAGGGAGCGCCUUAACCGCGAGCGGCAGGAGAUCAUCUCCCAGCUGAUCCGCCGCAAUCCCGCCUUCAAGCCCCCGGCUGAUUACCGCCCACCCAAGCUCCAUAAGAAGCUCUACAUCCCCAUGAAGGAGUACCCUGGGUACAACUUUAUCGGGCUCAUUAUUGGGCCCCGUGGCAACACACAGAAGCGGAUGGAGAAGGAGACGGGGGCCAAGAUCGUAAUCCGAGGGAAGGGCAGCGUCAAGGAAGGGAAGUUGUUGCAGAAGAGGGACUUGAAGCCAGAUCCCAGUGAGAAUGAGGAUCUUCAUGUGCUUGUUGAGGCUGAUACCCAAGAAGCGUUGGAGGCUGCUGCAGGCAUGGUGGAGAAGCUGCUUACCCCUGUGGACGAAGUGCUAAAUGAGCACAAACGGCAGCAGCUGCGGGAGCUUGCAGCCCUGAACGGAACAAUCAGGGACGAUGAGUUUUGUAGGACUUGCGGGGAGCCGGGUCACCGACAGUAUGCAUGCCCGAACAGGACAACAACGUUUAAGAGCGAGGUGCAGUGUAAGAUCUGUGGCGAUGGUGGCCACCCGACAAUUGAUUGUCCAGUGAAGGGCACAUCUGGGAAGAAAAUGGACGAUGAGUACCAGAACUUCCUUGCUGAGCUUGGUGGGAGUGCACCUGAGUCCAUGAACAAGUCUGGUGGUCCGAUGCUGGCUAUAACAGGUGGUAGUGGUGGUGGCGGCGGCGGCAGUGGUAGCAACUCACCCUGGGCUGGGGGUAAUGGUGCAGCAACAACAGGAGCCAACGGGCUCAAGAAGGAUUAUGACGAGACCAAUCUUUAUAUUGGGUACUUGCCACCUAUGUUUGAUGAUUCAGGGCUGAUCAACCUAUUUUCACAAUUUGGGGAGAUUGUUAUGGCAAAGGUUAUAAAGGAUCGCAACACAGGGCAGAGUAAAGGGUAUGGAUUUGUGAAAUAUUCAGAUGUCUCACAGGCUAAUGCAGCUAUUGCUGCAAUGAGUGGUUACCAUCUUGAAGGGAGAACUAUUGCAGUCCGAGUUGCAGGCAAGCCACCACAGCCAGCUGCCCCCCCUGGUCCUCCAGCAGCGCCAGCACCACAGAUGUACCACUCUGCAGAUCCUUCUGCUGGUGGCUACAACUCGCAGCCCUACAUGGGAGGACAUCCACCACCACCAGCUCCUCCAGGUAGCUAUGCUCCAGUUCCUUGGGGACAACCACCACCUUAUGCUUCGUACCCUCCGCCGCCACCACCAGGCAUGUACAAUCCUGCACCUGGCCAAACUGCUCCACAUUCAUAUGGUAUGCAAUACCCACCACCACCAGCUCCAGUACCUCCACCAGGCACUACGUCAAAUGAUGGUGCACAGAACUACCCUCCGGGUGUAACACCACCAAGUUCUGGUGCACCUACCCAGCCUGUCCCUGCUCCAGCAUAUGGGACCUCUGGUGCGCAAAACAUGCCACAUAUGUACCCUCCACCACCUUAUGGUUAUGCCCCAUAUUAUCCAUCUGUCACACCAGUCCAGCCGCCUCCACCACCACCACCACCAGCUAGUGUUGAUCCUUCACAAAGCAUUGCAACUGCACCUUGGGCCACUCACAACGCACCUCCUCCACCGCCACCGCCGGCUAGUGUUGAUUCCUCGCAGAGCGUUGCAACGGCACCUUGGGCUACCCACAAUGCACCGCCGCCACCACCUUUGCCAUCCUCCAACGACCAGCCCACUCCUCCCUAUGGUGCUGAUGCAGAGUAUGAUAAAUUUAUGUCGGAGAUGAAGUGAUAUGAGCGAAGCUGAGGCACUUCUUUCAACACUGGGAAAGGCUUAAGGUUUCAUGGAGCUAAUGCGAACCUGAUUUAUUUGUUGUUGGAAGUUUGGGACUCAUAUCUUUAACCUUGCUGUGCUGUUAUGACCAUUGCAGACGUUGGAUGGUCGAGGAGGUUAAGCAUUACCGGCUCAUUGGGCAACAUGCAUUUGCUUUAUCUCCGUCUCCAGAACUAUUUGAAGGAACCCUUUACUAAUACUUCCGUUUUGUGUUACUCUUGUCAUAACUUGACAUUUGAUAUUUGUUGUCACUUUAAUGCUCUGUUGGCUGUGAUAUUAAUUUUAUUAUUAUUAUACUCUCACCUGUAUUAUUGAUGUUUCUCCCCCCUCCCCCCUUGAUUUGGUAAGCACUGGUGGUCUUCUUCGAUUGAAUACCGGUUCCCUCGAUUUUCUGCCCCCCUUGGUGGUUGGUAUAAUAAUAAUGUAUGACAUGUAUGUUUGCCUUCUGAUGAAUCUCUCAAGCUUUCCCACCUUACGUCUUUGCCUAAGUUGUUUGGCAGUUUGCUCCUGAUAGCUUGGCACAGGCAGGCAGAGUUAGUACCUUGAUUAACAGGUAUUGUUGAGCUGCUGUCACUUGUUCACUGUGGGAUCUACUAAUUUUCGAUAUGGUUUCCCAUUUCCAUUUUCUACUAACAAACAGUGACAACUUUCUCCCUUUUGGUAGUCUAUUGUGCAUUAAGGUAUCGAAGCAUACCAUCCAUGCUGGAAACUCAUGGAUACAGGGAUAUAUUUUCUGUUUGCUAACGCUCAUUCUAACAUGUUAAUAAGUAUUUCUUUGCAACUGAACUAUAGGACAUGCUGGCAAGCAGAUCAAAGUCAUUAUGGAGGAUAUGCUCAAGAUGCAUACUGACAUGAUUUUUAUGUUGUGAGCUCAUUUGAAGGUUUGGAAACCAGUUGGCUGAGAUCCAUAGUAGGUUUAGAUGUAUAAUAUAGAGAGGGAAGUAGGAGAUUCGGUAGCUAGUGGAAGAACAUAGUCUGGCGGCUUUGCCCCCAUCGUAGGCCACUCUAUUACGUACUGUUUUCAAAAAGUUAUGUUUUGAUGUGCUCUAGAGGGAAGGAAAAUAUUUGCUAGAAAGAUUUUUAACUUCCUUUGAUUAUGAUUAUUGUUCUUGUUAUAUUGAUGAAGGUUACUAUAUUAUGAAACUAAUUUAGGAUGAUUUACUAGUAAAUAUUAUUUUUUACACACAUUAAAACACGAGAGGAUACAACAAUGGGAAAUAUGCUGUGCACUUCUAUAUUUAGCACUUCAAUCUUUACCACCUCCAGUUUGCAAGAGUAGAUUGGCUAGUUUUUUUUGAGUGAGCUACCUGGAUUGUUUGCUUGGGAAAUGGCCUGCAACAGUUCUGCUGCUUAUCUUGUUUGUUGGCGUAAUAGGGUGUGUGUAGGCUGUGUUCUUUUAUAAGAG
rnacentral:rRNA from 1 species